GAUGAACGCUGGCGGCGUGCUUAACACAUGCAAGUCGAACGGAAAGGCCAGUGCUUGCACUGGUGCUCGAGCGGCGAACGGGUGAGUAACACGUGGGUGAUCUGCCCUGCACUUUGGGAUAAGCCUGGGAAACUGGGUCUAAUACCAGAUAGGACCAUGCUUUGGAUGGUGUGGUGGAAAGUUUUUUCGGUGUGGGAUGAGCUUGCGGCCUAUCAGCUUGUUGGUGGGGUAAUGGCCUACCAAGGCGUCGACGGGUAGCCGGCCUGAGAGGGUGUACGGCCACAUUGGGACUGAGAUACGGCCCAGACUCCUACGGGAGGCAGCAGUGGGGAAUAUUGCACAAUGGGCGCAAGCCUGAUGCAGCGACGCCGCGUGGGGGAUGACGGCCUUCGGGUUGUAAACUCCUUUCGCAACUGACGAAGCUUUUUGUGACGGUAGGUUGAGAAGAAGCACCGGCUAACUACGUG
rnacentral:rRNA from 1 species